GAUGAACGCUGGCGGCGUGCUUAACACAUGCAAGUCGAACGAUGAAGCCCAGCUUGCUGGGUGGAUUAGUGGCGAACGGGUGAGUAACACGUGAGUAACCUGCCCUUAACUCUGGGAUAAGCCUGGGAAACUGGGUCUAAUACCGGAUAGGAGCGUCCACCGCAUGGUGGGUGUUGGAAAGAUUUAUCGGUUUUGGAUGGACUCGCGGCCUAUCAGCUUGUUGGUGAGGUAAUGGCUCACCAAGGCGACGACGGGUAGCCGGCCUGAGAGGGUGACCGGCCACACUGGGACUGAGACACGGCCCAAACUCCUACGGGAGGCAGCAGUGGGGAAUAUUGCACAAUGGGCGCAAGCCUGAUGCAGCGACGCCGCGUGAGGGAUGACGGCCUUCGGGUUGUAAACCUCUUUCAGUAGGGAAGAAGCGAAAGUGACGGUACCUGCAGAAGAAGCACCGGCUAACUACGUG
rnacentral:rRNA from 1 species